GGGCUGUAGCUCAGUGGUAGAGUGCAUGCCUUGCACACAGGAGGAACUGAGUUCGAUCCUCAGGACCA
rnacentral:tRNA from 1 species